AUUGAACGCUGGCGGCAUGCUUUACACAUGCAAGUCGAACGGUAACAGGGUGCUUGCACCGCUGGCGAGUGGCGAACGGGUGAGUAAUGCGUCGGAACGUGCCGAGUAGUGGGGGAUAACGCAGCGAAAGUUGUGCUAAUACCGCAUACGUACUGAGGUAGAAAGUGGGGGACCUUCGGGCCUCACGCUAUUCGAGCGGCCGACGUCUGAUUAGCUAGUAGGUGAGGUAAAGGCUCACCUAGGCGACGAUCAGUAGCGGGUCUGAGAGGAUGAUCCGCCACACUGGGACUGAGACACGGCCUAGACUCCUACGGGAGGCAGCAGUGGGGAAUUUUGGACAAUGGGCGAAAGCCUGAUCCAGCCAUGCCGCGUGUCUGAAGAAGGCCUUCGGGUUGUAAAGGACUUUUGUCAGGGAGGAAAUCCCUAGUGCUAAUAACACUGGGGGAUGACAGUACCUGAAGAAUAAGCACCGGCUAACUACGUGCCAGCCGCCGCAGUAA
rnacentral:rRNA from 1 species